rnacentral:rRNA from 1 species
UGAGUUUGAUCCUGGGACGAACGCUGGCGGCGUGCCUAAUACAUGCAAGUCGAGCGGACAGAUGGGAGCUUGCUCCCUGAUGUUAGCGGCCGGACGGGUAUGAGUAACACGUGGGUAUGCCUGUAGACUGGGAUAACUCCGGGAAACCGGGGCUAAUACCGGAUGGUUGUUUGGUCGCAUGGUUCAAACAUAAAAGUGGCUUCGGCUACCUGAAUGUGGCCUAACAUUAGCUGGUGAGAGUAAUGGCGCUCACCAAGGCAACGAUGCGUAAAAACCGACCCGAGGGUGAUCGUCAGCCCUGGGACUAAGACAGCCCAGACUCUACGGAGGCAGCAGUAGGGAAUCUUCCGCAAUGGACGAAGCUCUGACGAACAACGCCUGCGUGAGUGAUGAGUUUCGGAUCGUAAAGCUCUGUGUGGAAGAAUAGUACUGCGUUCGAAUAAGGCGGCCUGACGGUACCUAACGAAAGCCACGGCUAACUACGUGCCAGCGCCGCGGUAAUACCGGCAGGUGGCAAGCGUUGUCCGGAAUUAUUGGGCGUAAGGGCUCGCAGGCGGUUUCUUAAGUCUGAUGUGAAAGCCCCCGGCUCAACCGGGAGGUCAUCAUUGGAAACUGGGAACUGAGUGGUAGAAGAGGAAAUUCCACGUGUAGCGGUGAAAUGCGUAGAUGUGGAGGAACACCAGUGGCGAAGGCGACUCUGGACUGAUACUGACGCUGAGGUGCGAAAGCGUGGAGCAGAACAGGAUUAGAUACCCUGGUAGUCCACGCCGUAAACGAUGUGCUAAGUGUUGGGUUUCCGAGAUCUUAGUGCUGCAGCUAACGCAUUAAGCACUCCGCCUGGGAGUACGGUCGCAAGACUGAAACUCAAAUGAAUUGACGGGGCCCGCACAAGCGGUGGAGCAUGUGGUUUAAUUCGAAGCAACGCGAAGAACCUUACCUGGCCUUGACAUCCUCUGACAAUCCUAGAUGGAUUGACGUCCCCUUCGGGCAGAGUGACAGGUGGUGCAUGGUUGUCGUCAGCUCGUGUUGUGAGAUGUUGGGUUAAGUCCCGCAACGAGCGCAACCCUUGAUCUUAGUUACCAGCAUUCAGUGGGCACUCUGACUGCCGGUGACAAACCGGGAAAGGUGGGGAUGACGUCAAAUCAUCAUGCCCUUAUGACCAGGGCACACACGUGCUACAAUGGACGGAACAAAGGGCCAACCGCGAGGUUGGAGCAAUCCCACAAAUCUGAUCUAGUUCGGAUCGCAGUCUGCAACUCGACUGCGUGAAGCUGGAAUCGCUAGUAAUCGCGGAUCAGCAUGCCGCGGUGAAUACGUUCCCGGGCCUUGUACACCGCCCGUCACACCAUGGGAGUUUGCAACACCCGAAGUCGGUGAGCUAGUAACCUUUUAGGAGCCACGCCGAAGGUGGAUGAUGAUUGGGGUGAAGUCGUAACAAGGUAGCCGUAUCGAAACCUGCGGCUG